UUCCAGACUCCUACGGGAGGCAGCAGUGGGGAAUAUUGCACAAUGGGGGAAACCCUGAUGCAGCGACGCCGCGUGAGUGAAGAAGUAUUUCGGUAUGUAAAGCUCUAUCAGCAGGGAAGAAAAUGACGGUACCUGACUAAGAAGCCCCGGCUAACUACGUGCCAGCAGCCGCGGUAAUACGUAGGGGGCAAGCGUUAUCCGGAUUUACUGGGUGUAAAGGGAGCGUAGACGGCAUGGCAAGUCAGAUGUGAAAGCCCGGUGCUCAACCCCGGGACUGCAUUUGAAACUGUCAGGCUGGAGUGCAGGAGAGGUAAGUGGAAUUCCUAGUGUAGCGGUGAAAUGCGUAGAUAUUAGGAGGAACACCAGUGGCGAAGGCGGCUUACUGGACUGUAACUGACGUUGAGGCUCGAAAGCGUGGGGAGCAAACAGGAUUAGAUACCCCAGUA
rnacentral:rRNA from 1 species